rnacentral:rRNA from 1 species
UACGGAGGAUGCGAGCGUUAUCUGGAUUUAUUGGGUUUAAAGGGUGCGUAGGCGGCUUUUUAAGUCAGCGGUGAAAUUUUGCAGCUUAACUGUAACAGUGCCGUUGAUACUGGGGAGCUAGGAUUUGGUUGCUGUGGGUGGAAUGUGUGGUGUAGCGGUGAAAUGCUUAGAGAUCACACAGAAUAUCGAUUGCGAAGGCAGCUCACAAAGCCAAGAUUGACGCUGAGGCACGAAAGUGUGGGGAUCAAAACAGGA